UAAUCACUCUCACUGCAUUGCUUUUCAUUUUUUUCCACCUUCUGUUGCAGUCAUCAGUCUUUGUCUACUUCUAGAGAGAUACAAAGUGAGGAUAAGCAAGAGCUGGAGCUGUGCUGACAAUGCUUUAGGAUGGCACAUUUACACUGUGUGAGUUCAGGAAGAGACAUGGUGUGGAAAAGGCUAAUAGUGCUGUACUCCAAUCCAGAAAGACACUUCAGAAUGGUUCUUGUCAUAACUCUGUGGCUUUCCCACAUGAGCCUGUCAUCAGUCCUGUGUUUCCAGCAAGCUUUACGCUUGAAAGAAGAAUAUGGAAAGAAACACUUGCUUGAAGUUUGAACUGAUUCUGAAAGAGAUGACAACAAUAAUUUUUGUUCUAAGCAUUGUCUGUCUUUGAAAUGAGAUUGCUGAAUUACAUUGACAAUUGAUCUCCUUAAAACUGUAGAAAAGCCAGAAGGUGAAGUGGUGAUAUUUAUGACACUGUUAAAUGUUCAGUUUUUCAUGUGAUUUUUCAUUGUUUAGCCUAAUAAACAGAGCAGAGCAUGGUGUAAUUAUCUGUGG
rnacentral:lncRNA from 1 species